rnacentral:lncRNA from 1 species
CUCCAGGUUACGUUCUCACAUUCGUACCUUUCGGUUUUGUUUUGGAACUCUGACUGAACCAGACUAUGCAUGUGGCUAUUGGGUGCAGAACUAUUCACACAAGCCUGAGGAGCUUGCAUUUGGUACACAGAAAAAAAAAAGUGACUUUCCAUCUGAAAGAUCAAAUAAGG